rnacentral:rRNA from 1 species
AACUUCCGUUAAUUGAUUAUGACGUACUUGUACUGAUUGAGAUUUUAACACGAAGUGAGUGGCGAACGGGUGAGUAACACGUGGGUAACCUGCCCAGAAGUAGGGGAUAACACCUGGAAACAGAUGCUAAUACCGUAUAACAGAGAAAACCGCAUGGUUUUCUUUUAAAAGAUGGCUCUGCUAUCACUUUUGGAUGGACCCGCGGCGUAUUAGCUAGUUGGUGAGGUAAAGGCUCACCAAGGCAGUGAUACGUAGCCGACCUGAGAGGGUAAUCGGCCACAUUGGGACUGAGACACGGCCCAGACUCCUACGGGAGGCAGCAGUAGGGAAUCUUCCACAAUGGACGCAAGUCUGAUGGAGCAACGCCGCGUGAGUGAAGAAGGGUUUCGGCUCGUAAAGCUCUGUUGUUAAAGAAGAACGUGGGUAAGAGUAACUGUUUACCCAGUGACGGUAUUUAACCAGAAAGCCACGGCUAACUACGUGCCAGCAGCCGCGGUAAUACGUAGGUGGCAAGCGUUAUCCGGAUUUAUUGGGCGUAAAGCGAGCGCAGGCGGUCUUUUAAGUCUAAUGUGAAAGCCUUCGGCUCAACCGAAGAAGUGCAUUGGAAACUGGGAGACUUGAGUGCAGAAGAGGACAGUGGAACUCCAUGUGUAGCGGUGAAAUGCGUAGAUAUAUGGAAGAACACCAGUGGCGAAGGCGGCUGUCUGGUCUGCAACUGACGCUGAGGCUCGAAAGCAUGGGUAGCGAACAGGAUUAGAUACCCUGGUAGUCCAUGCCGUAAACGAUGAUUACUAAGUGUUGGAGGGUUUCCGCCCUUCAGUGCUGCAGCUAACGCAUUAAGUAAUCCGCCUGGGGAGUACGACCGCAAGGUUGAAACUCAAAAGAAUUGACGGGGGCCCGCACAAGCGGUGGAGCAUGUGGUUUAAUUCGAAGCUACGCGAAGAACCUUACCAGGUCUUGACAUCUUCUGACAGUCUAAGAGAUUAGAGGUUCCCUUCGGGGACAGAAUGACAGGUGGUGCAUGGUUGUCGUCAGCUCGUGUCGUGAGAUGUUGGGUUAAGUCCCGCAACGAGCGCAACCCUUAUUACUAGUUGCCAGCAUUAAGUUGGGCACUCUAGUGAGACUGCCGGUGACAAACCGGAGGAAGGUGGGGACGACGUCAAAUCAUCAUGCCCCUUAUGACCUGGGCUACACACGUGCUACAAUGGAUGGUACAACGAGUCGCGAGACCGCGAGGUUAAGCUAAUCUCUUAAAACCAUUCUCAGUUCGGACUGUAGGCUGCAACUCGCCUACACGAAGUCGGAAUCGCUAGUAAUCGCGGAUCAGCAUGCCGCGGUGAAUACGUUCCCGGGCCUUGUACACACCGCCCGUCACACCAUGAGAGUUUGUAACACCCAAAG